rnacentral:rRNA from 1 species
GACGAACGCUGGCGGCGUGCUUAACACAUGCAAGUCGAACGGUGAACGAGGGAGCUUGCUCCCUCCGGAUCAGUGGCGAACGGGUGAGUAACACGUGAGCAAUCUGCCCCGAACUCUGGGAUAAGCGUUGGAAACGACGUCUAAUACCGGAUACGACGCGGGAGGGCAUCCUCUCCGCGUGGAAAGAACUUCGGUUCGGGAUGAGCUCGCGGCCUAUCAGCUUGUUGGUGAGGUAACGGCUCACCAAGGCGACGACGGGUAGCCGGCCUGAGAGGGUGGCCGGCCACACUGGGACUGAGACACGGCCCAGACUCCUACGGGAGGCAGCAGUGGGGAAUAUUGCACAAUGGGCGCAAGCCUGAUGCAGCAACGCCGCGUGAGGGACGACGGCCUUCGGGUUGUAAACCUCUUUUAGCAGGGAAGAAGCGAAAGUGACGGUACCUGCAGAAAAAGCACCGGCUAACUACGUG